CCUCUUGGUAGCUCAAUGGGAAGAGCCUGGCAUAGCACGCUUACCUGCGUGGCCAGAGACGUGGGUUCGAUCCCCACCCAGAGGG